rnacentral:rRNA from 1 species
GACGAACGCUGGCGGCGUGCUUAACACAUGCAAGUCGAACGGACUAUUUCAUUUCGGUGGAGUAGUUAGUGCGGACGGCUGAGUAACGCGUAGGAACGUACCCCAAACUGAGGGAUAAGCACCGGAAACGGUGUCUAAUACCGCAUGUGCUCUUCGGAGUAAAGCUACGGCGGUUUGGGAGCGGCCUGCGUCUGAUUAGCUUGUUGGUGAGGUAAUGGCUCACCAAGGCUUUGAUCGGUAGCUGGUCUGAGAGGAUGAUCAGCCAGACUGGAACUGAGACACGGUCCAGACUCCUACGGGAGGCAGCAGUAGGGAAUUUUCCACAAUGGGGGCAACCCUGAUGGAGCAACGCCGCGUGCAGGAUGAAGGCUUUCGGGUCGUAAACUGCUUUUCUCUGUGACGAUUAUGACGGUAGCAGAGGAAUAAGGAUCGGCUAACUACGUGCCAGCCGCCGCAGUAA